GCAUCCGUAGCUCAGCUGGAUAGAGUACUCGGCUACGAACCGAGCCGGUCGGAGGUUCGAAUCCUCCCGGAUGCACCA
rnacentral:tRNA from 1 species